AGGAUUACAGGCUAAUGCCUGGCACAAGUGCUGUCUUGAUCCAACCCCAGGAACCAGUGACUGGAGCCCAGGGUGAGGGCAGUGGUUCUUGAUUUUUGAUAUCUGGAGCUAUUGCCCUGAAAGCUAGAGCUUUGGGGGUGGUGUAGGGUGGUCCUGGGGGCACCAGGAUUGGGAGUAUGGCCUUGGGUUCCCAUCAGGACAUUUAGGGACUCCACUGAGGAGGCCAAGGGCCACCCCACUGGUGGAGCCCAGGGGCCGGAGCCUCAAAUAAGGCACUAAAAGAAAACCGGUCCUGGGAGUCAGGCCGGUGAUGGGGCCCGGAGCUCGGGGGAGGACACGGGCCUUGGAGGAAAUGCGAGCUGUUCGCUCUUCUCUUUACCUUGGGGGAGAGGCCAUCCAGGCAGACCACUUCAGGAUGGGGGAGUGAGUGCUACUGUGAGGGAAAGUCCCUGGAAUGGUCAUGGGGUGGCCAAAAGAGGAGGGGCUGGAAGAGGGCAUCAGUGGACAGCAGGACAGUGUCUCAUGGCAGAGUCUGCUCUGAGAGCUUCUGUGGUCUAGAUCGGAGGGACCCAGGGAUCCCCAGUUUAUGUGGAGGGCCCUGAUUUGGCCUCAUUCUGCCACCACUGUCAGUGCUGCUGGGCGCUGGACGCUGGGGGCACAGGUAGGUGAGCCCAGAUGGGUCACGGCUGUGACUAGGCUCUCUGCCUGCCCUGUCCCCCUCUGUCUGCACGGGUGACUGCUGAGCAAUGCCCUGGCUGCAGUACCAUGCCACAAGGGCUGGAACAGCUCUCAAUAUGGGGUCCUGCUCAGUGGCCUAGGGUUCCAGCCUCAGAGCUGGGUCAGUGGGGCUUCCUUUGUCCACAGGUUACUUAGAAAAAAAAAACACAAUAAAUAUACCAAUCCUUUCCUUAAAAAAAAAA